rnacentral:rRNA from 1 species
GACGAACGCUGGCGGCGUGCUUAACACAUGCAAGUCGAACGGAAGAGCCCUGCUUGUUUGGGGUGCUCGAGUGGCGAACGUGUGUGAAACACGUGAGUAUCCUUCCCUGGACUUUAGGAUAACUUCAAGAAACUGGUACUAAUACCGGAUAGGUGCUCCUGCUGCAUGGGGGGGGUUGGACAGUUUCGGCGGUUGGGGAUCGACUCGCGGCUUAUCAGCUUGUUGGUUGGGUAGUGGCAUACCAAGGGUUUGACGGAUAGCCGGCCUGGGAGGGUGAACGGGCACAAGACGCCUGAGAUACGGCCCAGACUCGAAUGUGAGGCAGUGGGGGAGAGUAUGACACAGUGAGCGGAAGCGUGAUGCGACGGUGCCGCGAGCGGGAAGCCGGCUAACGGGUUGGAAAGCGCAGUAACCUGAGACGAAGCGUUAGUGACGGUACCGGGUAAAGAAGCACCGGCUAACUACGUG